UACGAAGGGUGCAAGCGUUACUCGGAAUUACUGGGCGUAAAGCGUGCGUAGGUGGUUGUUUAAGUCUGUCGUGAAAGCCCUGGGCUCAACCUGGGAAUUGCGAUGGAAACUGGGCGACUAGAGUGUGGCAGAGGGUAGUGGAAUUCCUGGUGUAGCAGUGAAAUGCGUAGAGAUCAGGAGGAACAUCCGUGGCGAAGGCGACUGCCUGGGCCAACACUGACACUGAGGCACGAAAGCGUGGGGAGCAAACAGG
rnacentral:rRNA from 1 species